rnacentral:rRNA from 1 species
CCGCCUGGGGACUACGGUCGCAAGACUAAAACUCAAAGGAAUUGACGGGGACCCGCACAAGCGGUGGAGCAUGUGGUUUAAUUCGAUGCAACGCGAAAAACCUUACCACUUUUUGACAUGAAGGUCGUAUCUUUUUUAACCGGAAGAGUCAGUUUGGCUGGACCUUACACAGGUGCUGCAUGGCUGUCGUCAGCUCGUGUCGUGAGAUGUUGGGUUAAGUCCCGCAACGAGCGUAACCCUUGUCCUUAGUUGCCAACAGGUAAUGCUGGGAACUCUAAGGAAACUGCCAGUGAUAAACUGGAGGAAGGUGAGGAUGAUGUCAAGUCAGCACGGCCCUUAUAAGGUGGGCUACACACGUGCUACAAUGGUAACUACAAUAGGUUGCAAGAUCGCAAGAUUGAGCUAAUCCAUAAAAGUUAUCUCAGUUCGGAUUGUUCUCUGUAACUCGAGAGCAUGAAGCCGGAAUCGCUAGUAAUCGUGGAUCAGCAUGCCACGGUGAAUACGUUCUCGGGUCUUGUACACACUGCCCGUCAUGCCCUGGAAAUUGGUUUAACUCGAAGCUGGUGAGCUAACCGAAAG